GCUCUCGGGUGACGAGCGGCGGACGGGUGAGUAUCGAGGAAACUGCCUGAUGGAGGGGGAUAACUACUGGAAACGGUAGCUAAUACCGCAUAACGUCUUCGGACCAAAGUGGGGGACCUUCGGGCCUCAUGCCAUCAGAUGUGCCCAGAUGGGAUUAGCUAGUAGUGGGGUAACGGCUCACCUAGGCGACGAUCCCUAGCUGGUCUGAGAGGAUGACCAGCCACACUGGAACUGAGACACGGUCCAGACUCCUACGGGAGGCAGCAGUGGGGAAUAUUGCACAAUGGGCGCAAGCCUGAUGCAGCCAUGCCGCGUGUAUGAAGAAGGCCUUCGGGUUGUAAAGUACUUUCAGCGAGGAGGAAGGCGGUGAGGUUAAUAACCUCAUCGAUUGACGUUACUCGCAAAAAGCACCGGCUAACUCCGUGCCAGCAGCCGCGGUAAUACGGAGGGUGCAAAGCGUUAAUCGGAAUUACUGGGCGUAAAGCGCACGCAGGCGGUCUGUCAAGUCGGAUGUGAAAAUCCCCGGGGCUCAACCUGGGAACUGCAUUCGAACUGGCAGGCUAAGUCUUGUAAAGGGGGGUAAAUUCCAGGUGUACGGUG
rnacentral:rRNA from 1 species